rnacentral:rRNA from 1 species
UACGGAGGAUCCAAGCGUUAUCCGGAAUCAUUGGGUUUAAAGGGUCCGUAGGCGGUUUAGUAAGUCAGUGGUGAGAGCCCAUCGCUCAACGGUGGAACGGCCAUUGAUACUGCUAGACUUGAAUUAUUAGGAAGUAACUAGAAUAUGUAGUGUAGCGGUGAAAUGCUUAGAGAUUACAUGGAAUACCAAUUGCGAAGGCAGGUUACUACUAAUGGAUUGACGCUGAUGGACGAAAGCGUGGGUAGCGAACAGG